CUUAACAUCUAGCUCAGCGCCUAUUUUUGUCAAGUGACCAGGGUUCGGAAGUAAUGGAUUACAUGUAACGGCGUUACGUAAUCAGGAUACAAAAAUAAAAUACUGAUUGGCGUGUAGCCAGUUGUUGAAUGUGGUUACGGCCACACCCCGUCAUGCAGACUCGGCAGCCGGAUCCAGGACCGCACACAGCCUCCAAGACCGACGGAGGCCAGUCUCACCACUGGGAAUGAGAUGAGAACUGUCAGUCAGAGUGCUUGAGGGUGAACCAGAUCAAGACGUCUGUGCCAGAGGUGACAGAGCUGACUGACGUAUUUCCAGGCAGCCAGCAGAGCUGACUGAGAUUUGACUCCAGUGAUACGGAGGUCCUGUAUCUAUGAGGUGGUAGGAAGCACAGUGCACCUUAUCUUCUCCUGAAGAACUCCAAAUAACUCGCUCCCACACAGGGAUGCUUCUUCUGCUUGGAAAAAAAAUGACCUGAAAGAUCUUUUUUCCCUGUUUGCAAUAUCUUACUAAGCACAACUAAAUAAUUCCUCUUAGUUCAAUGUUUAGGCCCCCCUAAAGUAAAGUGGUACAUAGAGCAUGCACCACUUUUCUUGAGAGGGUCACAAAAAGUUACAUGACCAUAACUUAACCUUAAAGGUCCAGUGUGUACCAUUUCUGAGGAUCUAUCGACAGAAAUGCAAUAUAAGAUCCAUAACUAUGUUUUCAGUGGUGUAUGAAGACCUGACAUAAUAAACCGUUAUUAUUACCGUUUUUAUUACCUUAGAAUGAGCUAUUUAUAUCUACAUAACUGCAGGAACCCCCUUCCAUGGACGUCGCCACGUUGCAUUGUCAUGUUUCUACAGUAGCUGAAAACAGACAAACAGCGCUACA